rnacentral:rRNA from 1 species
CCUACGGGAGGCAGCAGUGGGGAAUUUUGGACAAUGGACGCAAGUCUGAUCCAGCCAUGCCGCGUGCGGGAAGAAGGCCUUCGGGUUGUAAACCGCUUUUGUCAGGGAAGAAAAGGUUCUGGUUAAUACCUGGGACUCAUGACGGUACCUGAAGAAUAAGCACCGGCUAACUACGUGCCAGCAGCCGCGGUAAUACGUAGGGUGCAAGCGUUAAUCGGAAUUACUGGGCGUAAAGCGUGCGCAGGCGGUUAUGCAAGACAGAUGUGAAAUCCCCGGGCUCAACCUGGGAACUGCAUUUGUGACUGCAUAGCUAGAGUACGGUAGAGGGGGAUGGAAUUCCGCGUGUAGCAGUGAAAUGCGUAGAUAUGCGGAGGAACACCGAUGGCGAAGGCAAUCCCCUGGACCUGUACUGACGCUCAUGCACGAAAGCGUGGGGAGCAAACAGGAUUAGAUACCCUGGUAGUCCACGCCCUAAACGAUGUCAACUGGUUGUUGGGAGGGUUUCUUCUCAGUAACGAAGCUAACGCGUGAAGUUGACCGCCUGGGGNGGACGGCGCGAGUAGUUAAGUUAAAGUAAGUUAGAGGCGNGNGNGNGCGAGGACGACGACGAGGGAGGAGG